ACAGAGGUCCCGAGCGUUAGGCGGAAUCACUGGGCUUAAAGCGUGUGUAGGCGGAUCGUUAAGUGCCUUGUGAAAUCCCCGGGCUCAACCCGGGAACUGCGUCCGAUACUGGAAGGCUUGAAUCCGGGAGAGGGAUGCGGAAUUCCAGGUGUAGCGGUGAAAUGCGUAGAUAUCUGGAGGAACACCGGUGGCGAAGGCGGCAUCCUGGACCGGCAUUGACGCUGAGGCGCGAAAGCCAGGGGAGCAAACGGGA
rnacentral:rRNA from 1 species